UAUUAAUUACAAACCUUAACUUUAUUAAAAUUAAAGAAUUAAUUUUUUUUAAGUUGGACACUGAUAGGAAUUGACAUUUUGGGUUUAAACAAAAUAUUUUUGACGUUUUUAUAUAUAAUUAUUAAAAUCUAAAUUUGGCUUAUUAGUAAAACAUAAUCUAUAAAGUAAGAAAGCCCUUGAAUUACAAGAAUUACAAGAUGCCCAUUUUUUCUGGAAUGUCUUAUCUACAAGACGUCAUUAUAUACCUACUCAUUGUUUAGAAACGACGUUAAUUGAACGAGACUCGGCGAUAACAAAAGAAUUUAUCAAUCACAAACAAUAUUACUAGGAAGUUGCUUGCAAAAAAGGAUGGGUUUUUUGUGGGUCUCGAGCCGGGCCCUUGGCGAAAUGUAUUGUUCGGAGCUUGCAGAGCGGGGGAUGCAUUAAACGCAGUUCAGUUAGGGUGCAAUAGAACUUUUACCUGGAAAAUAAUGAGGGUUCGGUGACGGUUCUUCGGCAGUGCGUCACUGCUCUUUAAAGGCAAAAGUAGCCAGAAAUGUUUCCAAGUGUGGAGAAGUGGUUAUUAAUUCAGUGGAGUGAUAAUGAUAUUAGUGUAGUCCAUAUCAGGAGUCUGACUAACAUGCAGACUGAAGCCUUGCACCCUGGGGAACAAGUGACGGCCAUCAUAAAGGGCGAGUCGAAAGUUGGAACCUUUAUUUGUAAAACAAAUGACCGUCAAAUGUUGUUAGAAAUACAACAAAAGAUGAAAGCCGAGAUCGGAGCAGGUCCCAGCGGGGAGGGGAAGAAGGAAGGGGAGCCUCAGGACUUCUCACCCAGUGGGUCUUCAUGGCAGCCUAGUGAUGACCACGCAUCUGACUCCGAUGAGGUUGCAGUAAAAAAAGUUAAGACAGAGCACGUCAAAAAGCAAUUCACAUUCGAAAAACCUAAAAGGAUACUAACCCCAUCGAACAAAGCAAACGCAGUCAUCCCAGAUGCAAUGAGAGGAAACAAUUCUAUUAAAAAGACACCAAUUAAUAAGAAAAGGCCUAAUGUAUCCACCAAUCAAACAAAUGAAAACAAGUCAAAACCAGAUUCUACGAAAAAGAACAUUAUACAAAAAGUAAUCGUGAAGAAGGGCACAUUAAAUUUUGAAACUAUAUUGGGACUAAGAUGUUGUUUCAGAGACCUUUUUGGAAUGGUUAAAGGCAUGACAAUACACAGCGCUGCUCCUGAUGGUAGUGACGAUCCAGUCAAAACUGAACCAAAUGUAUCAAAAGCAAUCCCGAACAUGACGUGUGAUGAUGACAAAGAAAAUGAAAAAAGUCACAGUGCAGAGUCUAGCCGCUCAGAAGACAAUGUUCUUAUAAGCAAUAAAUACAAAAACUAUAAUGAAAUUAGCAAAAAAACAAAUGCCAAAAAAAGUCCACCACCACGAAACAUUAUAGACGGUGAAUGGGUAUCAAUAGGUAGUGGAAAAACUUUGUUACACAAAGAUAAAUUUAUGAAGGUCAAUUGGAAAUCAUAUACAGUGGCUACACGAACUUUAUUAAUGGCUUUAUUUCCGCGAAGGAUCCUAGCAACUCAUUCUCUAACCGGGAAGAGGUCACCAGCGUUUCAGAACAAACCAGCAAAAAUGUGUCUCGAUCCAAAAAUAAUAUCAGAUGUUAUCAUGGAAAUCCAGGACAGAUUUAACGUUAAAGAAAAUCUUAUUAGAAGUAUUAUCACCACCAAGUGUGCCGAUGAGUGUAAGAUGUUUAAAAUGAGGCAAGAUAAAAGAAAGGCUCUAGCCCCAGUGAGCAAACAAGAAAAAGUUGAUAACAAAAAAGUACCUGAAGAAGAAAAAAACGAUAAAGCUGUAACAGAGGCAACUACUAAUUAAUAUUAUUACUAUACUCUAUUCAUCGAAUGAACCAAGCAAAGCGCUUUCUCUGUCUGGCAUUUGUAUACAAACAGACAAGGACAGAAAACUAUCUAGCUCCACCCAGAGGCGCUUGCGCCCUGUAAAAAAUAUUAGGGCUCGUUUAUAUUGCGAACCCAUUGGUGAGAAAUGAUAUGUACACAGAUGUUGCGAAAUUUUCGAAAUCCUUCAAAUUACUUUCUUAAAAUGACGGGCAAAAACCUCGAAUAAGGGUUUGUAUAUUCACUAAAAAUAACUAAUGUAUGGGGAUUUUCUGAAAUGAAAUAAUUUAUAUUAUAUAUAAAUAUAAUUGAUGAUUAUCUAUAUAUCUUAUAAAAUAAAAUUAGUUACAUUUUAUUCACUUUCACUCUCCGACAUAUCACUGUCAUUUCGUCCAUGUCAAGUUACGAUCCAUUUGAUUCAUUUUGGGCUCUAUAACGUCUUCCACGUACUUGACACAUUUUUCCAUUUUUUGGGAGUAAUUUUAUUAACUGCAGCAUGAAAUAUUUUUUUUUUGUUGCACAUCAUAACCUUUUCAGUGGAAGAAAAGGCCCGUUUAAGCCUUUUUUGCACGUUUUCUUCUGCCAUAUUUCAAUAUACACGCCAAGUCGUCAGGUAAGAAAUCAAACGGAAUCCGAUAAACAAGCCAAGUCCACACAAUGAGCACAAAACAAUGUCCGAAAAACAAGCCAGGUCAAAGAUAUAGAAAGUCACAAUGCAGAAUACAAGAGUUACGCUGAGACGUCUAGACGGUACGAGAGCAACGACAGACUAAUUUUGAUUCAGAUUGUGAAUGCGCCCUAAGAGUGUUAUCUGCAACCAAUCACGUUGAAGUGCCGAAUCUCGGUGCUUGGUUCAUUCGGCGAACAGAGUAUAGUUUUGUUUCUCCAACUCUGUAAAAGUUUAUCUCUGGAAUGAGUCGUUUAUUAAUCUCGUGAGUUUUUAUAACAGGCUAGUUGACUCGCAAUGAAUUUCAUACAUACUCGUAUAUUAAAUGAAUAUUUCCUAUAUAUUGUUUUAAGCUUAGGAAGUCAAUGUAUAUCAAUUUUAAUAAUUAAAUGUGCGAUAUCAAUCUAUGAACCCCAUUGUUAAAAUGUUUUUAAUAAUGUUUAAUAAGAAACGUCAAAACCACUUACAAGUACACAAGUCUCGUAGACAGGACUUAAAAAGUUUGUUAAUUUCAAUUUCAAAUAAAGCUCGGGUAUUAUUUAUUUAUUACAACGAUAGUUACUAUAUUUUUCAUGUACACUAUUAGAAAUCAUGAUUUUAUCUUCAAACUUUUAAAAGGUUAUCCGGGGUUUUUUAAUGACAAAAUGUUUUCUUAAUAGAAAAGGACGUCAGAACACUCAUAAAACUGAAUAAAUGCGUCGCAGACAAAAUAUUAGUUUUCUUAUACAAAAAAAAAUUAGGACAGGAUACGGGCGUUGUUUCUCGCGCAGUGUUGUUAUGGUGUCUGUACACCCUCAGCGAGGGUCCACGAGACAGAAAUGGACGAGAAUGGACAGGAUAAAAUCGUUUAUCCAAAUCUUCCCGCGCCUCGCCUCGCGUGCAAGAGCACGUCGUGUUAGUUUUUUGUGCGCGAAUCAAAGGGUUUCUCUUUCCCUCGCCAGUGGAGACGAGUGCAUCUCUGUACACUACCGCUUCGUCCAGUCCAUCGCAAGACAUUACAGUAGUGCGUCAACACAUUACGUCAUUAAACCACCUUAUAUUUUGAAUAUGUGUUUCACAUUUAUUUUUAAAUCACCUUAAGACUGCUACUAAUUCUAUCAUUUGUUUUUCCAUCGAAAUUCUGCAAUUUAAUAAAAAGUAUUCUAUGUUUUCCUUAUGGUCAACUUUAUUUUUGUACCAAAUUUAAUCCAAACUGAUUCAGUUAAACCACUGAAAACGUAACAGUCAGGCAUAGUUAGUUUAUAAUAUUAGUAGGGAUAAGGAUGUAGGUAGAUACAUUACAUUACAUACAUUACUACCUAUAUAAAAGUUGACUUAUCAGACUAUCAUUGCAAAGCGGCCAUCUCGUCGCCGCCGCUCGUCGUAACUGAAUGAGUCGAAAAUGUACAGGGUCACACUCGAGGCAUAGCGAGGAACACUCGAGAAUGAAUUUAUGUCAGAAGAGAGCAGUUUGAGCCGGUCCGUGUUUUAAUUUGAUGUGACAAGUUAGAAAAGUUUCUUAUAUAACAACUUCGUACGGGGCCGGAUUAAUUCUGUAGAUUUCUGCAUUGCUUCUGACAAACUUGCUUUUGGUGUACUCGGAGAGAAAACAAUAACUUUAAAAAAGCUCCAUUUUUUGUGAAUUAAUAAUUUAACAGGUGUGUUGUAAUUUUUACUGAAAUAUUAAUGCUAUAUUUAUUCUAAGGAAUACUGUUACCGACAAUGUAUGUUAUGAAUAAAGAUCGGAAUAGGUAGAUUGUCAAUGAACUGAAACAUAGGUAUAUAUUAAUAUGGACAUGCCUCCGUCCGGGA
rnacentral:misc_RNA from 1 species